CCCCAGCGUCCCUCUUCCAGGAGGGGGAGGAGGGGCAUGGCUGAGUUGGGGGGGGUGGUCUGAGGGUGCAUUUCAGAAGCACAAAGGGGGCCAGAGGGACUGGCGACUUCUCCACAUCCCAUCACAAUAACCAAGAAAAUGGCUUACCCGGAAGACAACAGCUAUUAAGUUUCACUCAGAAGAAGAAAGAAAUGGACAUCUGCAAUGUUCCAGUUUUCCUAGAUGGAGAAUCUAAUGCUAUGAGAGAGGCUCAGCCUCUCUCCUUAGCCACACAUGCUUGGCCCCAGGAGCAGGCACUCCUAACAUGACCUAUUAGUAACUGCGAAAGCGUCCCCUGUCCCUGCUCCAAGGCCCAAAGAAAUCCGCCAACCGUCAUAGCUGCCUCAGUAGCCACAAGAAUGAAAUUGGGAGACCACGUACUGAGCAUGAUCUUACACUUCUAAAAAGAGAACAAAAGCAACAGGAAGAAAUGCAAGUAAAAUUCUGGUAGGCCUCUGGCACUGCUUAUAAGCAGUGCCCAGGA